rnacentral:rRNA from 1 species
GACGAACCGUCCAAACGUUGUUCGGAAUCACUGGGCUUAAAGGGCGCGUAGGCGGGUUCCCAAGUCGGUGGUGAAAUCUUUCGGCUCAACCGGAAAACAGCCGCCGAUACUGGGGACCUCGAGGGAGGUAGGGGUCGAGGGAACUUCCGGUGGAGCGGUGAAAUGCGCAGAUAUCGGGAGGAACACCAGUAGCGAAGGCGGCUCGCUGGGCCAUUCCAUGACCGCUGAGACGCGAAAGCUAGGGGAGCGA